GCAGCUUAAACUUUACUAUCAUGAAUUCACUAGAACCGAGAUUGACGCUCCAGAUUGUCAACCGAAUCGGGAGCAGUUGCAGCAAAAAUUCGAUUGUGCCCUCCAAGAGGGUGUACAAAAACUAUGCGUAAUCAGGUAACUAUUGAUGCUAUCGGUAAUUCCGUCUAUAAGAGUGUUCGAAAAGCAAUGGAAACAUCAUUUCAUGAAGCGUUACGAAACAUCAUUUUACCGAAUUAUGAGUGAUGCUCACAAGAACUGUUUUGGCAGCUCAAUAAAGAAUUUUCAGCAGGGUUAAAAGAAUACCUCGAUAAAACGGAAACGUAUUUAUCAUGCAGAAAACUGAACGAAGAGUUUGAAGCCGCGCUAAAAAAAAACCGUUCAAUAAACUGGGCAGAACUUAACUGUCAAUGAUCUAUUCCAACCCGCCAAUGUUGCAGCCUAGCGUAAAGAUCUAAGCAAUGAUUCGAAUGAUUUCCAAGGCAAUUAGCUUAAAAUGAUUUGGGAAAACGUAAGGGCGGAAAUCGAUAAGGGUUUGGAGGCCCAAGCCUCUUCUCUAGAGGACUCAGUAUUGUCAGCGGUGCGGUCGCAAGCACAAACUCCAGCGCCCGCUUUUUUGGGUCAUCCCGAACACAUCCGGCAACUGCUAGCCACAGGGCGCAUAAACGAUGCAUUCGUUAUAGCUCUUCAGUCCAACGAUUUGAAACUAUAGUGUGAUUCACAAUAAAGCACGCCAAUUACAAACAGGUGUUCAAUCCAUGUGCUCUAGAACAACGGAUACUGCUGUCACUGAUUCAGCAGAUUGCAGCCGACAUGUCCAAUAUUAACGACCUUAAGCACAGGUUUCUCUCUGACGCCAUCGUUAAUCUGACCUUCUUCGACCACAUUAUGAAUGAACACAUUCAUAAGGUCCUGCAGGAGGUAGCUCGUAACAUACAGGCAUUUUUGUCAAUGAAUCCCGAACACGUACUUGCUACCAGACUUAAGUUAUUAAUGAUUGCCAUCCAAGGCUGUAAAUAUGCCUGAUCUUUGUGGAGGCAACACCAGUAAAAGGUUCGCGAGGACCUGGUAAUGUUGAGCCGGCAGUUUGAAGAAAAAUAAAUAAGCUGCUUUUAAACCCGCAUCUUUUUUCUUUUUCCAGUUGAAAACAUCCCAAUUCUAGUAUUUUAAAGAAAAAAAAUUACCUGUUUUCCUUCCAUUCUGCGAUAUGGUUUAAAAUAAACCGUUUUUUCAACUUCUCCGCAAUAAUUUCUUGCGGUUAAAAAGUAACCAUAUUUCCACUUCUCAAAAGAAGUCAAAAAAUGAUUUCUAUGGAAGCAGUCAAAAAAUCCCUUAACGCGGAAGGGUGUGAAAAUGGUUACUUUUUAACGAUAAUUGGUUAAAGAAUUUCGAGCGUGUUGGCGUUGUGUUGACUGGCUUCAGGCUGGCAGCCUCCAUUUAUUUCAUUUCGAAUUGGCGCUGAAAGUUGUCUACAUUCUAUUCCUGUAAAAAACGGUGAAAUAGAUUCAAAAAGAAAAGUGUCAGUGCGUGAAAAGUCGAUUGUUGGUGCCUUAACGAUUGUUGCUGCGUAUAAGGUGUAUGUACAACAUGAACACUCUACGCGGUUAUUUGAAAAAGGCAGUAUCUGAAGCUGAGCCGUCUUUUGUAAAAAUAGACGACAAUAAAACUCAGACUGGGCCAGAAAACGGUCAAAAGAAACAGGAUGUAAAUAAACGUAAGAAACGGCGUAGUCGAGCUGCCAAUAGCUCUCUGGAUGACAGCAAAACAUUAAAUCAAGAUUUGAAAACAACAAAAACACCUAAAAAGAAAAAAAGAAAUGUUUCAAUUGAUUCGAUCCCGGAUGAGUUUUGGGAAAUAACUUUUACGCAAGAACAAACACAAUGAAUAUCGUUCUUAUCAAUUAAAAUUCGCUUAAUUUUAAUCAAAAUCAAUGUACCCGAACGACCCGGGUGGUUAAAAGGUCUCUUAUAAAUAAUAAUAAUAAUGUUAAGAGUAAAGAUGCGAGUUGAGAAUAAAUUAUAAUAAAAAUGACAAUGAUUAUACAAAUCAAUAUUUUUACCCCACUUUUAAAGAAAAUAUUCCAAUUAAAAAUUCGUAUUCAUAUUCAGACAACAAUGUACACACGAAGGCUCUACAUUACGGCUUUUCGAUCCAUUGCUUCCUAAAUAUGCAAAUUUAAGGCGAGAAUUCGUGCAGGCGUUUGUUUGUUAUAAAAUAAUCGUUUAUUUAUUUUUGA